rnacentral:rRNA from 1 species
GGUACGGGGGGGGUAAGCGUUGUUCGGAAUUACUGGGCGUAAAGGGCUCGUAGGCGGCCAACUAAGUCAGACGUGAAAUCCCUCAGGCUUAACUGGGGAACUGCGUCUGAUACUGGAUGGCUUGGAUUCGGGAGAGGAAUGCGGAAUUCCAGGUGUAGCGGUAGAAAUGCGUAGAUAUCUGGAGGAACACCGGUGGCGAAGGCGGCCUGCUGGGCAGUGGCUGACACUGAGGCGCGACAGCGUGGGGAGCAAACAGG